rnacentral:ncRNA from 2 species
UCCGCCGGGGGUGCGCAGGCGCGCUGAGACAGUCCCUUGGAACCUGUUGGGUUAAUACCCGCGUAGGGAAGGC